rnacentral:lncRNA from 1 species
AAGGAAUAGCUUAGAGUGGUAGAUCCGCUAUCAGGAAACAAUAAAUGUUCAUUUUUAACAAUAUAGGACGCGUUGCCUUGGAAAGCCGCUAGAAGCUGCUUUCCGAAAAGACAGUCUGGUGGAAGUCCGCGGUAUCCAGCCAGCCCGCGGGUAAGACCGGAACACGAUAGUGACAGGCGUUGGCCUAGAAUGCGAUAUUAGAGCGCAUGUGUAAGGCAGGUAAUGAGGUUCAAGCAAAUUGAUCAAGAAUAUGUUUACAUAGAACGACUUGCUUUUUAUUACAACAAGAGAUUUCCAUCAUAAUAAGCAUAGCCUUUCGUCAGCAGAGAGAAAUACCUGUUUUGUCGAUAAUCAGUUCCGAGAGUCACUCAAUGAACUACGUAGACCACCGUUGCUGAAACUGUCUUUAGUCUUUAAUAUGUUAAUAGUCUUUAAUCCUUGACAGAUACACAAAUACCGGUAAAUGAACUCACAGGGGAUGAUGUACUUAAAAGGGAGACAUUUGCUCUACGUCAGACCAAAGGCGGUGACUAGUAUCCACGUAGAAUUUCACUUUCUGUGUUGAGAUAGUUGUGAACCCUUGGGUAUCCAGCCUAUGGUUGAGAGAUGGAGGAAAUAGAGGUAUGAAUCUUGACAACUAUCGAAACUGUCGAACACGGGAAACAUAAGGCUAGUGGGGAUUAAAAGUCCGUCCGUCCGUCGUGGAGCAAAUAAACUUUGAACCCAGAGAAGCGGCUGGAACCAGGAGAUCCGUAAUCACGAAGUCCGGCUCGAGGCUGGUGUCCCUCUUAAAUAGAAUGAUCUUAAUGUGACCUUUUUCUCACCUUAUUCCCAGGGACAGAGGGAAUGUUUUAUUUUACAAUACUUCGGAAUGCUAGGUGUUAGUCUCUUCCUUCAAAUCCGACACUCGCACAUUAUCGUAGUUUGCGAUUUAUUGUUAUCGGGGACAAGAGUCCGUGAGAUAGUCGAAAUACUACGCGGUGCGUCGCUACAAUUCACCAUGUUUAUUUUAACAGUGUUUUACUUCUCCCUUUUCUCUUGUUUUGACUUAAUGGCGAUCGGAAACCGAGGUGGGAAGUGACAAAACAUAGAUGUGCCUUGCUCGAUUCUCCACACUAGUCUUAACUACUAGAAGUUAUCCGCUGCCGUGCUAGUGCAGCGAAGUUUAGAGUGGAUGCAAGUAGCUACAAAGAUGGCCGAUUCUCUUCAAAUGGUGUUUGUUAAGUUUGAAUGAGAGAGAGAUAACGAUUUAACAAUGUAGGUUACAGAAGACGAAUAUAGGAAAGUUAUUGAAGGUGAGCAUUUGCUUUAAUUUAUUUUUAAAUAGGCUUUAUUUACUUCAAAAUAACACAAGGAAGGUGAUCUAAUUGUAGACGGGUAUGUGUAGACGACUAUUGCCAACUUUACAAUUUUAAUUUCACUUUAAACAGGUCUAUUCUUUUGCCUACAUUAAAUAUCAAUUAAAAGGAUUUUAUAAAACUGUAGUUUAACAGAAAAGUAUGUGAAGUUUUAGGAACAAGUAUUAAAUUCUUUUAUUAGCCAAAUUAAUCAAUAUACUAUAAUUUCAUACGAAUCCCUUUGCAUUGGAACUAAUAAAGCGAAAAUGAUAUGAUGCUAUACCUGAUGCUAACCCAUUUACAAAAAAAGAAAUUAAAGAUUGAAUCUUAUUCAUCAGUUCAAGGUUAUUUUCUAUCAAUGUUUUAUCUCUAAUCAGUUACAAUUAAAAAUAAUUUUUAAAAACUGUUUUAAUUAAUUCAGCAUAACUUUGUUCAUUUACUUUUACUUUCUUCGUAAUAUUUUCACAAUCAUAUUGUAUUAUGUUCUACAAUGUUUAACGGUUAAUUUAUAGUUUAAAUAAAUUAUUGUAUAUUUUGAUAAAUAAUUUAAAAUACUAAAAUACUUAUUAUAUUAUAUUAAAAUACAGUGGGGUAUGCUACAACGAAUUAAUUGGUUCUAGAACGUUGUUCGUUGUAGCAUCUCUUCGUUCUAAUAUA